GGAGGGUAUAGCUCAGUGGUAGAGAGUGUGCUUAGGAUACACGGGGUCCUGGGUUCAAUCCCCAGUACCUCCA
rnacentral:tRNA from 1 species